rnacentral:rRNA from 1 species
CGCUGGCGGCGUGCCUAAUACAUGCAAGUCGAACGGUCUUUCUAUGGAAGCUUGCUUCCACUGAGAAGAUAGUGGCGAACGGGUGAGUAACACGUGGGUAACCUGCCCAUAAGAGGGGGAUAACAUCCGGAAACGGGUGCUAAUACCGCAUAGUUUUCUUGAUCGCAUGAUCGGGAAAGGAAAGACGGCCUUUGUGCUGUCGCUUAUGGAUGGACCCGCGGCGUAUUAGUUAGUUGGUGAGGUAACGGCUCACCAAGACGAUGAUACGUAGCCGACCUGAGAGGGUGAUCGGCCACAUUGGGACUGAGACACGGCCCAAACUCCUACGGGAGGCAGCAGUAGGGAAUCUUCCGCAAUGGACGAAAGUCUGACGGAGCAACACCGCGUGAGUGAAGAAAAGGUUUUCGGAUCGUAAAACUCUGUUGUCAGAGAAGAACAAGUUGGAGAGUAACUGCUCCAGCCUUGACGGUAUCUGACCAGAAAGCCACGGCUAACUACGUGCCAGCCGCCGC